rnacentral:rRNA from 1 species
AUUGAACGCUGGCGGCAGGCCUAACACAUGCAAGUCGAGCGGUAACGCGGGGCAACCUGGCGACGAGCGGCGGACGGGUGAGUAACGCGUAGGAAUCUACCUAGUAGUGGGGGAUAGCCCGGGGAAACUCGGAUUAAUACCGCAUACGCCUUAAGGGGGAAAGCAGGGGAUCUUCGGACCUUGUGCUAUUAGAAGAGCCU